UACGUAGGGUGCAAGCGUUAAUCGGAAUUACUGGGCGUAAAGCGUGCGCAGGCGGUGAGCUGUGUCCGAUGUGAAAGCCCCGGGCUUAACCUGGGAAUGGCAUUGGAAACUGGCUCGCUGGAGUGUGGCAGAGGGGGGUGGAAUUCCGCGUGUAGCAGUGAAAUGCGCAGAUAUCAGGAGGAACACCAAUGGCGAAGGCAGCUCGCUGGGACGUGACUGACGCUGAGGCGCGAAAGCGUGGGGAGCAAACGGG
rnacentral:rRNA from 1 species